GAUUCUAACAGCCAAGAGACAUUAGGUGAGACUGCUGCUGCUAAGUCACUUCAGUCGUGUCCGACUCUGUGCGACCCCAUAGACGGCAGGCCACCAGGCUCCCCCGUCCCUGGGACUCUCUAGGCAAGAACACUGGAGUGGGUUGCCAUUUCCUUCAAUGCAUGAAAGUGAAAAGUGAAAGUGAAAUCGUUCAGUCGUGUCCGACCCCCAGAGACCCCAUGGACUGCAGCCUUCCAGGCUCCUCCGUCCACGGGACUCUCCAGGCAAGAGUACUGGAGUGGGGUGCCACUGCCUUCUCCAAGAGCUAAGUACUAUGAUUGGACUUGUCAAAAGGAAAAUAGGAUCUUAUGCUGCUAAACAUGUAUGCUUGAAGAAUGGGGAAUAACCAUCUCUACUUUCCAAAGCCAAUGUGAGGCUUAAGUACCUGAAAUGUAUGAGUGAUCGGUAGUUGAGUUGAAGAACCCAGAUGAAAUUGUCUCUAUGCCCAGAUGUGAACUUGCCUAUGACAUAGCCUCCAUGAAGGAAUUCAGACAUCACUGUGGAACACAGCUCUCCUAUAGGACAGCCCUGCUGUCCUUCAUAUGGUCCUAGGAAUUGACUCACGGCGCUGGAGGCCCAUAGACUUCCCUCGGGACAGAUCCCAUCUUCUCUGCCACAUCCAGAGAAGCCUCCUCAUGAGGCUGUUAUUGACCUGCACAUCAGAACAAUGGUUCUGGGAUGCUGAAGCCCCUAGUGCCCACUCGGGAAACCAAAUCACUUGAAAUUAACAAGUCAUUUGGAGUUAACAACAGCAACAACAAAUCAAUAGCUAACCUUUUGGAAUACUAACAGAUCAUGUACGGAUGUGAGAGUUGGACCAUAAAGAAGGCUGAGCACCAAAGAAUUGAUGCUUUUGAACUGUGGUGUUGGAGAAGACUCUUGAGAGUCCCUUGGACUGCAAAGAGAUCAAAUCAGUCAAUCCUAAAGGAAAUCAACCCUGAAUAUUCACUGGAAGGAUUCAUGCUGAAUCUGAAGCUCCAAAACUUUGGCCACCUGAUGCGAAGAACUGACUCAUUGGAAAACACCUUGAUGCUGAGAAAUAUUGAAGACAGGAAGAGAAAGGGAUGACAGAGGAUGAUGAGAUGGUUGGAUGGCAUCACCAACUCAGUGGACAUGAGUUUGAGCAAGCUCCGGGGGUUGGUGAUGGACAGGGAGGUCUGGCGUGCUGCAGUCCAUGGGGUUGCAAAGAGUCAGACACACCUGAGUGACUGAAAUGACUGAAAGUGACUGAGCACACAGGCAAGUUCUGCCAAGUGUCAGGGAAGAGCUCACUGACAUAUUUUAGAACAUAGAAGAAAUAUGGGGACCCUCCAAUCUUAUUUUGUAA
ensembl:lncRNA